GUACUCACAUGUGCAGUAGAUAUACUAAAAUUUUAAUGAUAUAGAGAUUAUCAGCAUUGUCCCUGUGUAAAAGAUAACAUAGGACUUCAUAAAGGUUUUUUUUUUUAAU
ensembl:snRNA U6 U6 spliceosomal RNA